rnacentral:rRNA from 1 species
UACGAAGGGGGCUAGCGUUGUUCGGAAUCACUGGGCGUAAAGGGCGCGUAGGCGGCUUUAUAAGUCGGGGGUGAAAGCCUGUGGCUCAACCACAGAAUUGCCUUCGAUACUGUAGAGCUUGAGACCGGAAGAGGUAAGUGGAACUGCGAGUGUAGAGGUGAAAUUCGUAGAUAUUCGCAAGAACACCAGUGGCGAAGGCGGCCCUCUGGACGGUGACUGACGCUGAGACGCGAAAGCGUGGGGAGCAAACAGG